GAUGAACGCUGGCGGCGUGCCUAAUACAUGCAAGUCGAGCGAACAGACGAGGAGCUUGUUCCUCUGACGUUAGCGGCGGCCGGGUGAGUAAUACGUGGAUAACCUACCUAUAAAACUGGGUUAACUUCGGCAAACCGGAGCUAAUACCGGUUAAUAUAUUGAACCGCAUGGUUAAAUAGUGAAAGACGGAUUUUGUGUACCUUAUAGAUGGUUCCGCGCCGCCGUAGCUAGUUGGUAAGGUAACGGCUUACCAAGGCGACGAUGCGUAGCCGACCUCAGAGGGUGAUCGACCACACUGGAACUGAGACACGGGCCAGACAGCGACGGAAGGCAGAAGUAGGGAAUCAGCCGCGAUAAGCGAAAGCUUGACGGAGCAACGCCGCAGGAGGGAUGAAGGUCCGCGGUUCGUAAAGCACUGUUAGUAGGGGAGAACAAGUGUGGAUGUAACUAUGUACGGCUUGACGGUACCUAAACAGAAAGCGACGGCUAACUACGUG
rnacentral:rRNA from 1 species